GGUUAAGUGACUAAGCGUACACGGUGGAUGCCCUGGCAGUCAGAGGCGAUGAAGGACGUGCUAAUCUGCGAUAAGCGUCGGUAAGGUGAUAUGAACCGUUAUAACCGGCGAUUUCCGAAUGGGGAAACCCAGUGUGUUUCGACACACUAUCAUUAACUGAAUCCAUAGGUUAAUGAGGCGAACCGGGGGAACUGAAACAUCUAAGUACCCCGAGGAAAAGAAAUCAACCGAGAUUCCCCCAGUAGCGGCGAGCGAACGGGGAGCAGCCCAGAGCCUGAAUCAGUGUGUGUGUUAGUGGAAGCGUCUGGAAAGGCGCGCGAUACAGGGUGACAGCCCCGUACACAAA
rnacentral:rRNA from 1 species